GAGGUUGUGGCUCAGUGGUAGAGCACUUGCCUUGCAUGCAGAGACACUGGGAUCCAUCCUCA
rnacentral:tRNA from 1 species